CAGCCGCCACGGGAAUACGGAGGGUGCAAGCGUUAAUCGGAAUUACUGGGCGUAAAGCGUGCGUAGGCGGUUCGUUAAGUCUGUUGUGAAAGCCCCGGGCUCAGCCUGGGAAUGGCAAUGGAUACUGGCGAGCUAGAGUGUGUCAGAGGAUGGUGGAAUUCCCGGUGUAGCGGUGAAAUGCGUAGAGAUCGGGAGGAACAUCAGUGGCGAAGGCGGCCAUCUGGGACAACACUGACGCUGAGGCACGAAAGCGUGGGGAGCAAACAGGAUUAGAUACCCCAGUAGUCCCUGUAUCUUAUAC
rnacentral:rRNA from 1 species